rnacentral:rRNA from 1 species
CCGCCCGUCACAUCACGAAAGUCUGCUGCGUCUUGGUAAGUCGCCACGCUAACCGCAAGGAGGCAGGCGCCAACGGAGUGGCCGGCGAUUGGGGUG